AGGGAAGAAAGGACCCAGGCAACUUACUCACAACUGUCGUCUUAAACUUGUUGUUGUCAUAUUCGGCUCCACAGAUUUCCACCUCCACAAAGGGACAUGCAAUACUUCGUCCAGGCUUGGGGAGGUGGCGAGCCCCGAGAACCUAGGACACCAAAGCCAGAAAAUGUCCUCAUGGGGACCCAGGAGAUAACCUGCUGGACCCCACAAGGGAUGGAUUCAUACCUUAGCCCAGCAGAUGACACGGGGCCGGCCGUCAGGCGUCCCCCUCAAGCCCCUUCAUCACUCCAUUCAACUGAUGGGCCUCUCACUAGUGUGUUGGUUGAACCGUUCCUAAGACAAAUCAAACAUUCCGGGACGCUAUGUCCCACUGGU